rnacentral:rRNA from 1 species
UACGGAGAGUGCGAGCGUUAAUCGGAAUUACUGGGCGUAAAGCGUGCGCAGGCGGUUUGUUAAGCGAGAUGUGAAAGCCCCGGGCUCAACCUGGGAACCGCAUUUCGAACUGGCAAACUAGAGUCUUGUAGAGGGGGGUAGAAUUCCAGGUGUAGCGGUGAAAUGCGUAGAGAUCUGGAGGAAUACCGGUGGCGAAGGCGGCCCCCUGGACAAAGACUGACGCUCAGGCACGAAAGCGUGGGGAGCAAACAGG